rnacentral:rRNA from 1 species
CUGCAACCCGCCUGCGUGAAGCCGGAAUUGCUAGUAAUCGCGGAUCAGCAUGCCGCGGUGAAUACGUUCCCGGGCCUUGUACACACCGCCCGUCACACCAUGAGAGCCGGGGGGACCCGAAGUCCGUAGCUUAACCGUAAGGAGGGCGCGGCCGAAGGUAAAACUGGUGAUUGGGGUGAAGUCGUAACAAGGUACC